UACGGCCACAUCACAUUGAAACACCUGUUCCCGUACGAUCACCGAAGAUAAGCAAUGCCGAGCCUGGUCUACAGCUGGAUGAAUGAUCGCUUGGGAAUGCCAGGUGA